rnacentral:rRNA from 1 species
AGAGUUUGAUCCUGGCUCAGAACGAACGCUGGCGGCAGGCUUAAUACAUGCAAGUCGAACGGCUGUAGCAAUACAGCAGUGGCAGACGGGUGAGUAACACGUGGGAACCUACCUAGGGGUACGGAAUAACUCAGGGAAACUUGUGCUAAUACCGUAUACGACCUCAGGGUGAAAGAUUUAUCGCCCCUAGAUGGGCCCGCGCUGGAUUAGCUAGUUGGUGGGGUAAAAGCCUACCAAGGCGACGAUCCAUAGCUGGUCUGAGAGGAUGAUCAGCCACACUGGGACUGAGACACGGCCCAGACUCCUACGGGAGGCAGCAGUAGGGAAUCUUGGACAAUGGGCGAAAGCCUGAUCCAGCCAUGCCGCGUGAGUGAUGAAGGCCUUAGGGUUGUAAAGCUCUUUCGCCAGGGAAGAUAAUGACGGUACCUGNAUAAGAAGCCCCGGCUAACUUCGUGCCAGCAGCCGCGGUAAUACGAAGGGGGCUAGCGUUGUUCGGAAUUACUGGGCGUAAAGCGCACGUAGGCGGCAUUCCAAGUUGGAGGUGA